CUUGGAGUCUUAGCCACUGGACCACCAGGGAAGUCCCUGUGAUCUUUCUUAUUUUUUAAUAUAAGUGCUUAUAGCUAUUAACUUUUAGCAUUGCUUGCAUUUCAUCCCAUACAUUUUGGUAUCUGUGUUUUUAUUUGUCUCGAGGUAUUUUCUAAUUUCUUUGUGAUUUCCUUUUGACCCAUUGGUUGCUUUAAAAAUGUUUUUGUUUUUAAUUUUCACAUAUUUGUGAGUUUUCCAGUUUUCUUUCCACUACUGAUUUCUUGUUUCAUUCUUAGUGAUUGAAAAACAUACUUUCUAUAAUUUCAUUCUUUUAAAAUGUGUUAAGACUUCUUUCGUGUGAUCUUUUACUUGCAUGUUAUCUAUCCUGGAGAAUGUUCUGUGUGUACUCGCAAAGAUUAUAUAUUGUUGGGUGGAGUGUUCAUUAUAUGUCUGUUAGGUCCAGUUGAUGUAGUGUUGUUUGUUCUAUCCAUUCUUGAAAGUGGAGUAUUGAAGUCUCCUGUUAUUAUCCUGUUGUCUGUUUCUCUCUUCAGUUCUGUCAGUGUUUUCUUCCUAGAUUUAGGAGCUCUUCUAUUUGGUAUGUGCAUAUUUAUAAUUGUUAUAUCUUCUUGGUGAAUUGAUCCUUUUUAUCAUUUUAUAAUCUUCUUUGUCUCUUGUAAAAUUUUUGACUUAAAGUGUGUUUUGUUUAAUGCUAUUAUAGCCACAGCUCUCAUGUUGUUUAAUCCUCUUUGAAACUCUGAGUCAUUAGUGUCCCAACAGGAACUAGACACUGUUUCAGAUAGGAAAAUUGAAGCACUAGCUCUUCACAGAUUCUAUAAUAAGUUGAAACCAAAAUUGAACCCCCACCCCUUUCCUAGUUUCCAACUAAAAUUCCUUUCAAAUUAAAGGAUGUGUAAUGUUUCUGCCCUUUUCUCCAGCUUUUGAGUUGUGGGCUCCAGUUGUUUUUUAAACAACUAUCUGUAUGUUUGUAGCCUGAUUUGUGCUCUGAUAGCCAUUGCCUGCAUGCUCUUUUGGAUUUCUUAAACUAUCUAGUUCAUUCCUUAAAAAAAGUUGUAUCACCAAUACCUGAUGAAUGAAGAGCAAACUAUCAGCAGGGUGCAUGGCAUCCUGCUGAGCUAUGGCAUAGAGGAGGAGUCAGACCUGUACAUGCUGAGCCUCAUCUGGUAAGUCACCGUCUCCUGGGAGGAAGUUGGUUUCUGAAGUCCUUUCCGAGAGAUGUCAGGAUUUAAUGGAUCGUCUUUCCCACGGACGCUGCUGUGAAUGUCUUAUAGCUACACAGACACCACGAAGUGCUCCCUAAGUGUGGACCCUGGACGGGUGUUGUGGAGUCUGAUGGAGCACCUCCUUACCGAGGUAGAGGCCUACAUGUGCCAACACCUCCCUGACCUCUACGCUGCCCCUGCCAUAUGUGAAGAGUCUGUGGGGAGGGCUGGGGAGGUGUCACCUUUUCUCUUUGGAAGAAUGUGUCUUGGUGGUCAAGUUUGGCUAAAAGUUAUUUUAGAUUUAUUUUCAAAAUCUUCCUUCAGUCUCUGCUUUGAAGCCUUAAUCUUUGUCAUUGGUCCCUUAGAGAAAUAAAAGGCCACAGAUUCUUUAAUUUGAAAGGAAUUUUAAAAAGCAUUUCACCCAAUUUCCCCUUCUGUUGAGCAGUCCCAGGAGAGGAUGGUCAUCUAGCUUCUGAACACUGAUCAGUAAGGAUAUCUUUACAAGGCAGACCACUGUAUUGGUAACAACUUGGGUUAUUUGAAAGGACCAGAUAAAUGAAGGGCUUCAUGCUGACACACAGUGAGUUAAUGAGAAGCUGGAAAUAGUCCUCUGUGUUCUGCCUCCAUCUUGUAGAAUCUAUCAUCAGGGGUUCUUAAAUGUCUUGGAAGCCAGGAGCAACCCCAGCCUCAUUUCGGUAGUUUAUCACCUGUUCUUUUCAAUUUCUUGUGCUUUCCCUAAUUGUCUUCUGUAAUGAUUACAGCAAGAAAACUACCAUCCAGCUGACACAUGAACAAACAGCUGACCCUAAGCCACGAAGUGGAGCCUCUCCAGGUGGUGAAAAUAAUGACAUUUGCAGGCACACGGCUGAGGAGCAGACUGAAGCCCAGGGAGGUCACAGGGCCCCUCGCUGGAGCUAACAGGGCCUUGACACCAACCCGGGUGGCUCUGCCUCCACUCUGCUGUUCCCUUCACCACCUGGUGUUUAGUUCUCAUUGGUACUAAGAGUGUGCUGCUGUUGGGUGCCUGGCUGGCGGCGAGAUGAGCAUGGGCAGAUCCUGUUAGGGCACUGUGGGAAUGCAUCUUCCUGUUCAGAGGUGACCCCCUUCCUCUUGGCAUCUCCAGGCACUGGGAAGACCUCCACCCUGGUCACAUGUGCCGAGAAGUGGUCUCAGAGCAGAUUUCCAUACCUGACCUUCAAUAAGAUCAUCACCAGGCAGCCAGAGCUCAUCUUCCCAAGCCACAUCAUCUGCAAGACAUUCCACUCUGUGGCCUGUGGUCAUGUCCACCCUGUGACCUGCAAUCACAUCGGGCUCAAGUGAGCUUCCUGGUGCCGCUGUCACCAUCACGUCUGGUUACUGCUUUUCACAGGAGAGAACUUAGUGCCUAAUCUCCCUUUAUAGGCAGGGAGUAUAACAAAAGAUUUAGUGAUUUAUACUUUUACCCCAGAGAGAUACAUUGUCACCCAGGGAGGCGGGCUUGUGUGUCUGGAGUUUAGGCAUGGGUCAGAUGACUUGUCUGCAGUCCUGGGCACCAAUGGCUUGGUUGACCCGUUCAGAUAAGACUCUCCUUGGAAGCAGGAGAGGAAAGGACAAGGCUAAGAGGCACUUGAUCUAGGCUCCUGGGGCCUCUGAGCUGUGUUCCCUGGGAUAGGAAGGCUUCAGGGACCUUUGAGGUCCCCCUGGGGCCUCUUGGAGUCCUGUCUACACUGUGGAAGAGCAGUGUCUGUUGUGAGCCACUUUGUCUCCUGGGUUAUUAGAUGUGAAUUUUGGAAAGCCGAAUGGAGCCCUUUCCAGUCCCACGUGGCCUGGAAGCACUCAGCCCUUUAAGCAUUUUUCCUCACCUAGAUGAGCCACUGCCAGGGACCUGGUGGUGUCAUCAGAGAGAUGGGGGCAGGUGGGGGACACAAGUCCCACAUGACCAGGAAAGCCCACCCUGUGCCCUCAGGACAUGCCUUCCAGAUAUCAGUUGAGAAAAAAGCUGAAUCUCUUCAAGUUAACCCCCUUCAUGGUCAACUGUCUCCUUGCUGAAGGGAAGGGCAGCUUCAUUAGGGCCAAGCUCGUGUGUAGCACUCUGGAGGUCUUCUUCACCUCGGCCGACGAGGAGCUGAUGAUCGACCAUGUGCCUACCUGGUGCAAGAAUAGCCAGGGGCAGCAAGUCAUGGUGGAAUAGAGCAAAAAGCUGGUGAGCGACUCAGUGCCCCUGGAGUCUGGGCCUGGGAGGAUGAAGGCGCGACCUGGGGCCCAAGUCUAAAUUUUUGAUGUUAGGGGGAGCCUAGGUUUUAAGUGAGCUGGAUGUGGGGCCAACUUAGGACGUCCAUACAAAAACAUACAGCCAGCAGCAGAGGGUCAGGGCUGGAGGGACUCGUUGGUCAGGGGCAGUGGGAUAAGAGUGGGUGAGACGUGGCUGUGCAGGACGGAGCAGGGACAGAAGCCCUUACAGGUCAGGGCCUGAUGGAGACAGGAAAGGAAACAGAGAGCAAAGCCCAGAAGCAGGUUGUUGGAGGUGACAGGAAACCAGCUUCCGGAAGGUGGGAGUGAUCACUCAUUGAACUGAAAGCCUCAGGAACAGGAGGGCCAAAGGACGUCACCUGAAUUGGCAGUUAGGUCCCUGUGAACUAGAGCAGCAGCUGGAAGCUGGUGGCAGGGACCAGCAGUGCCAAUGAGCAGGGGACCAAGGGCAGGUCAGGAUGAGAAAGGAUGCUUGAGACCGAGGAUGGUCAGAAGGGCUGCACUGCAGAAGAGCCAGGGAAGGACGAGGCUGGCUAGGAAGGGUGCUCAGUACAGCAUCCAGGACGCAGUCAGCACUCAAGACCAUGGGAGUCAUCCUCCACUCACUGACCGUAUCCAGAUCACACGUACCAGGGCUGUUCCGGGCCCUGUAGAUACAGUAAGUGAGCAAGAGACACAGAAACCCUGGCCGAGGAGCUUACCUUCUAGCUGAGGAGACAGAGGGUAGACAAAAGAAACAACUCAAGUUGUAUGGUGUGUUCCUGAGUGGUCAGGGCUAUGGCGAAAGCAUAAACUAAGGGAAGAAGAUAUAACAUUAAAGGAGUGAAAGGAAUUUUAGAUCAUGUGGCCAGGGAAGGGCCCCAUUCAGUGAAGACCCAAAGGAAGUGAGAAAAUUACCUACAAUUAGGAAGUGAAGGAAUGAUGUCAAUGAUCACCACCCCUGUAUUAGCAUUCUCAGUGCAUCAUUAUUGCAGGAACAGGUGUAACUGUAUCAUCGCCCUAUCUUUGCCAGUGAAUGGUACCAUUACCACUGUCCUCUCUGGCUCCCCAGUGGUUUUGGCAGCACGUCUGAUGGCCUGGGUCCAGCUACAGGAGCCUCUCCGAUGGAGAGCCGCGUCCUGGGGAACCAAGUGCAACCCCACAGACGAGCGUCACGGUGGGACGGGACACUCGACUUGUGGCUUCAAGAACAAACACCAUCCUUCGAACAAGGUUAUUAAAAAGGUUUGAAAAUAUCUUCAAUAUAUUUUAGAUGCAUUUAUUAUCCAAAGUGAGCCAAUACAGAACUUGGCACUUAAAAAAUAAUCUCACGAUUCAAACAUUAUAGUCCAGUGUUUCAACAUUAAACAUUAAAUGUUUAAUUACUUUAGUGCACAUUAAAUGUUUUAAUGUUUAACAUUAAGAAGCAGAGCUUAGAAUAUAGAAGUGUUUCCAUUAACUGCUUGUAAAGAAAGAAAGUGAAAGUGAAGUCGCUUAUUUGUGUCAGACACUUUGGGACCCCAUGGACUGUAUGUA